GAGACUCUGUGCGCGUGCAUAUCAAUAAGCGGAGGAAAAGAAACUAACAAGGAUUCCCUUAGUAACGGCGAGUGAAGCGGGAAGAGCUCAAAUUUGAAAUCUUCAAGGUUUACCUUGACGAAUUGUAGUUUAUAGAAGUGUUUUCUGUUAGAGGAGUAGUAAAAGUUCUUUGGAAUAGGACAUCAUAGAGGGUGAGAAUCCCGUAUUUGACUAUUCCUUCUAGCGUUGUGAUACACUUUCAAAGAGUCGGAUUGUUUGGGAAUGCAGUCCAAAAUGGGUGGUAAAUUUCAUCUAAAGCUAAAUAUUGGCGAGAGACCGAUAGCGAACAAGUACCGUGAGGGAAAGAUGAAAAGAACUUUGAAAAGAGAGUUAAACAGUACGUGAAAUUGUCAAAAGGGAAGCGUUUGACACCAGUGUUGUUUUUCCGAAAAUCAAUUAAGAAUGUGAUUCAUGCUAGGUUGUAUUGACCUCAUCAGGCUUGCUAAUUUAGUUUACGGUAACUCUUUUAAUGCACUUUUCGGUUAACAAGUCAACAUCAAUUUCCUUUGUCUGUAAAAGGGUAUGAGGAAGGUGGCUUCAUUUCGGUAGAAGUGUUUAUAGCCUUGUGAUCUCUGCAAUCGGAGAGAUUGAGGUCUGCAGCGUAGAUCCUUCGGGGUUAGAUACAGUUUGUGCUAAGUUACAGCUUUUCAUAGACAACUUGUUGACUAUGUUUAGUCUUGUAGCUUACUCGCUGAUGCUAUUUUACCUACGCUUAGGAUGUUGAAGUCAUCGUAUCGCGC
rnacentral:rRNA from 1 species